rnacentral:piRNA from 1 species
UACAUAUCUGAAGGUGCUGUUUAUGAAACUA